rnacentral:lncRNA from 1 species
CUUUUUGUUGCCUCCUCGUUUUCCAGGAUACCUGGUAGGAAGCUAUUCAAAACAGCCCCUAUCAGAAUAGCAGCUUGAGUCAAACAAGAGCUAUGACUAUAGCUAAUUUUAAAUGUUCUAUCAUGUCUAUUGCAUUAAGUCCAGUAGAACAAUUUCACUAGCGUAAAUACAAAAUCAACUGGAAGAAAUAAAUCUUAAGCAGAAUGAUUGUUGCUUUGUAUCUUUUUAUUCCCACAUUCUACUGCCAGAAAAACCGCUAUCUUUUCAAGCCUAUUUGCACCUGAAAAGAAACUUUCUGACGAGGUGAGACAGUGUCUCCAAGAGCUGUAGUUUGAGAGUAUUCAUAAGAGAGUACCAGAAGUUACUUGGAUCUUGAAUUUGGUAAACAGCAGCUUUUCUUUGUCUCAUACAGAUAACUAUAUCAGUUUUUGUCAAUUUUAAAUACAAGGCCACCUAACUGCAGAAAUUGAGUUGAUUAUUAAAGUACUAAUGUCAAUAAGAAAAUAAGAAAAGCUUAAAGUUGCUGGAACUCCUAUUUUCUGCCACAAAGGUGGAAACAUAUUUCAUAAAGUAAACCAGCAGGAUAAGAUAAAGACAGUCGACAGCCACUAAAACAACAACAACUAAACUUCAAUCCCAAACAAGUUGAGGUCAGCUACAUGAAUAUUCACUUCUUUAUUUAAGCUCAAUUCAUAUAGCUCGAUGUUACAAAACCACCUCAAAGUUUGCUGCAACAGCGACAGCACGUACACCUCAAUUCCAACCUAGCUGAUGCAAUAUUUGUUGCAUUACUGCAAAAUGAGAAAUCAAAUGUUAGGAGAAAUUCAUACCAUAGUUUAUUGUUUCUUCUCAUGUAUCUGCAUUCCUACUUUUUCCACAGCAAUUAACUAGUCUGUUGAAGAAUGUAAUAGGUUGAAGUCUUGAAGAAUCAUUCUGAUACUACUAGUACAGCAGUUGCACCUGAUUAGAAUCAAAACUAUAUUUUAGAGUUUGGGCCUUAUGAGACGCCCAAUCUACUAGUAACUAACUAAAGUUUUUCAUCUAUAUAUUAAAAAAAAUUAUUUGGUAAAACUAAUAGUAAUAGAGUAGUAGCAUAAGCUAGUAAAAGUAGAAAUUUUUAAAACUAAUGCUAUGCUAAACAAAAGCCAAUGAAUGACUGCUUGAAAACCUAUAGUUGCAACUAGCAACUCAUAGUAACAUCCUUCUCUUCCUAAAGACAAAGAGAGGAGCCUACAGCAUAGAGAAUGAUGAGAUAACCCAGGUCGCGCACUGAAAUCAUUGUCAUAAUACACAUAUCAUUUUUCUCGUUCUACUCUACUUUACUUUGAAGAAGUUGGAGCUUCACAAACCCAUCAUACCACGUAAUUUAAAAACUGUAACAGCCAAAGCACAAAUAACAGAACAUCUCCAUAGCUCCUUCACACUUAAUCAAAUAUUACUUCAAAUUGUCUAAGUGCUGGAAACGUUUCUAGUUCAAAAACUAAAUAUAUGAAUAUAAGUCAUUGUUCAUGACAUUUCAAAAUAUGGAUUAUAGCUACAACCGUGCUUGUGGUCAAUCGAGGUGCGUGUAAGCUGGCGUUAGCAUCAUCCAAAAAGAAAUCCAGAUAUUGAUUGGUUCAGCUUGCGAAGUUACAAUUCAGCACUGGAAACAAUUGCAUUCAAAUAUUACUUUUCAUCCGAAGAACUUUGAACCAAAUUCUAAUUUUUCAAUUUACUUUCCAUAUAACUCCCUAAAUCCUUAGACACCCAUCAAACAAACAAGAAACAGUAAACCUGCCUUAUUAUGAAAGAUUCAAUCUUUAAGCUCAGAUAUACAUUUUAAAAGACAGACAAAAAUCACUAUGCAUAUUCGAUUAAAAAAAAAAAAGGAAACACAGAUUAGACUUGCUAACCGUAUUUCUGGAGGUUUUGAACGGAGACCCAAUUCACGGCUGGAGUGAAAAAGGAACGUAGCCAAGAUCCCAUUUGCAAUUAGAGCAUCUAUUGAUUUGUUCUUUUAGCCAUUUCUUCUCUUCGUUUCCCUCCACUUCUACGCCUUAGACUGGAAUCGUAGCAAUUUAACUAUCUGGUUGAAGAAGUUUAAGCUUGAGCCUUUGAGUUCCUUCUCUCUUGUAAAUUUAAUGUGAAUUUUGUUUACAAAUUCCUUUUUUU